rnacentral:rRNA from 1 species
AACGCGAAGAACCUUACCAGGGCUUGACAUGUAUCGGUAAGCGGCGGAAACGUCGCCGACCCGAAAGGGACCGAUAUGCAGGUGUUGCAUGGCUGUCGUCAGCUCGUGCCGUGAGGUGUUGCCUUAAGUGGCGCAACGAGCGCAACCCUUGUCCUCAGUUGCCAGCGGGUCAUGCCGGGAACUCUGGGGAGACUGCCGGUGCCAAACCGGAGGAAGGUGGGGAUGACGUCAAGUCAUCAUGCCCCUUAUGUCCAGGGCUGCACGCAUGCUACAAUGCGCGGUACAAAGGGCUGCAAUCCCGCAAGGGGGAGCGAAUCCCAAAAAGCCGCGCUCAGUUCGGAUCGGGGUCUGCAACCCGACCCCGUGAAGUCGGAGUCGCUAGUAAUCGCAGAUCAGCAAUGCUGCGGUGAAUACGUUCCCGGGUCUUGUACACACCG